GAACGAGGAUAUAUCCUUCGGGAUGUAAGCCGAGUGGCACAAGGGUGAGCAAUGCAUAGAUUACCUACCUUUAGGAUAAGGGCAACUUUGUGAAAACGGAGCUAAUACUUAAUAAUACAAAUGAAAAUAAUUUUCUUUUGUCAAAGGGAGGGUAGCAAUACCUUUCGCCUAGAGAGGGGUUUAUGUCCUAUCAGCUUGUUGGUGGGGUAAUAGCCCACCAAGGCGAAGACGGGUAGCCGGUUUAAGAGGAUGGUCGGCCACACUGGGACUGAGACACUGCCCAGACUUCUACGGAAGGCUGCAGUCGAGAAUCUUUCGCAAUGCCCGAAAGGGUGACGAAGCGACGCCGCGUGGGUGAAGAAGGCCUUCGGGUUGUAAAGCCCUGUCAGGAGUUAUGAAAUGUAAGUGCGCUAAUAUCGUGCUUAUUUGACAAAGGCUCCAAAGGAAGCCACGGCUAACUCUGUGCCAGCAGCCGCGGUAAUACAGAGGUGGCGAGCGUUGUUCGGAAUUAUUGGGCGUAAAGAGCACGUAGGUGGGUUUGCAAGUCAGAUGUGAAAGCCUUCUGUUCAACGGAAGAAUUGCAUCUGAAACUGCUAAUCUUGAGUAUAGGAGGGGAGAAUGGAACUUCUGGUGGAGCGGUGAAAUGCGUAGAUAUCAGAAGGAACGCCGGCGGCGAAAGCGAUUCUCUGGCCUAUUACUGACACUCAGUGUGCGAAAGCUAGGGGAGCAAACGGGAUUAGAUACCCCGGUAGUCCUAGCCGUAAACGAUGGGCACUAAGUAGAGGGAAUUACCUAUAUUCUCUCUGCCGUAGCUAACGCAUUAAGUGCCCCGCCUGGGGAGUACGGCCGCAAGGCUAAAACUCAAAAGAAUUGACGGGGGCUCGCACAAGCGGUGGAGCAUGUGGCUUAAUUCGAUGCAACGCGAAAAACCUUACCGGGGCUUGACAUGAUAGAAGUAGGAACCUGAAAGGGGGACGAACGGUAUCCAGUCCGUAGCUAUCACAGGUGUUGCAUGGCUGUCGUCAGCUCGUGUCGUGAGACGUUGGGUUAAGUCCCCUAACGAGCGAAACCCUUGUUUUUAGUUACCAGCGGGUUAUGCCGGGUACUCUAGAAAGACUGCCGUCGUCAAGACGGAGGAAGGUGGGGAUGACGUCAAGUCAUCAUGGCCCUUAUGCCCCGGGCUGCACACGUGCUACAAUGGUCGGUACAGACGGAAGCGAAGCCGAGAGGUGAAGCGAAUCCUAAAAAGCCGAUCUCAGUUCGGAUUGGAGGCUGAAAUUCGCCUCCAUGAAGUUGGAAUCGCUAGUAAUCGCGGAUCAGCAAUGUCGCGGUGAAUAUGUUCCCGAGCCUUGUACACACCGCCCGUCAAGCCACCCAAGCAGGAUGCACCCGAAAACAUUAUAUCUAACCAGGGCAACUUGGAGGAAAAUGUUGAAGGAGUGUUUUGUGAGGAGGACU
rnacentral:rRNA from 1 species